CAGAGGCCGGAGCAGCAACGAGAUCCCGGGGGCAUGUUCGCCAUCUGGGGCUCAGCCCUGGUGCUGGUUUUGCUUUUCAGCUCCAGCAUGGAAGAUUCCGUCACUCAGACCCAGCCCUCGGCAUCGGAUCUGGAGCGCGAGUCUGUGUCCCUGGAUUGCACUUAUGAAACAUCGUUCAGCAACUAUUACCUGUACUGGUACAAACAGCCCCCCCGGGGAAGCCUGAUUCUCCUCUUUUGGCAACAUUCUGGAGGAACAAAGAGCAACGAGGCAGGGGAGAGAUUCUCUGUCAAUUUCCAGAAAGACAAAAGCUCCAUCAGUUUGAGGAUCACGGCUCUGGAGUUGGGGGACGCGGCCACGUACUUCUGUGCUUUCAGUAGAGGCACAGUGUGGAAAUGAAUAGAGGGCCCUGUACAAAAACCUGGCCCCGCUCCGCUACUGCAGGGACCUGACUCCUCCCAGGUGAAGUUA